ACACGUAGGGGGCGAGCGUUGUCCGGAAUUACUGGGCGUAAAGGGCGUGUAGGCGGCCUAAUAAGUCAGAUGUGAAAACCCUGGGCUUAACCUUGGGAUGGCAUUUGAAACUGUUGGGCUUGAGGUCAGGAGAGGAAAGCGGAAUUCCCAGUGUAGCGGUGAAAUGCGUAGAUAUUGGGAGGAACACCAGUGGCGAAGGCGGCUUUCUGGACUGCACCUGACGCUGAGGCGCGAAAGCCAGGGUAGCGAACGGGAUUAGAUACCCCGGUAGUCCUGGCCGUAAACGAUGGGUACUAGGUGUGGGAGGUAUCGACCCCUUCCGUGCCGCAGUUAACGCAGUAAGUACCCCGCCUGGGGAGUACGGCCGCAAGGCUGAA
rnacentral:rRNA from 1 species